GUGAAAGGGCUGGUUACAGUAAAUGGAAAGAGAGGGAGGACGGGAGGACAGUAGCAGGUGGACUCCAAUCAAGUUGUAGAAACAUCUCAAGGAUGAUCGUUGGAAACAGGAUGCACCCGAGCUCAAUUUCGAGUCUCAUAGCAAAGGGUCUGAAUACUUAAAUAAGCUCAGGCGUUCGGCGUCACCGGCCUUCUAGCUGCUUCUGAACCUACUGUUGGCAAAUGCCCUUCACUCAUCAACCCCGGACUUGUCUCGUCAUCAUUACACACACCUGGUUCCAAUCCCCACUCUAUCACUGUAUAUAUACUCCCUCUGCCAUUUGUCUUUGUCGGUUAUUGCAAAUGUUACUUGUUUUCCUGAGAGGAAUCUCACCUACUAUUUCCUGAGUACUUUAUAUUUUGCACUUUGGGUUCGCCCUGUGCCUUUUUGUUUAUGAAGAUAUAUUUUCAGCAC
rnacentral:lncRNA from 1 species